rnacentral:lncRNA from 1 species
ACUGGGAUAUACUUUGGGGGGGGGGUCCUGGGGGGGGGGUCGCGGUGUCACCCCGGUUUCUGUCCCCAGCUCCCGGCCACGUGGCACCCGCGGGGACGCUGUGGCUGUGGGGCGCGGGUCCCCUCCUGCUCCUCUUCCUCGCCUGCCUGGCCGUGCUGGGGCUGCGACGGGCGAGGGCGCAGACGGAGCGGCCCCCCCGGGGACGUCGGGGACUUGGGCCCCCCCCAGCGCCCCCCAGCCCGGAGCUGCCCGCGCUGCGCUUCCUGCAGGUGCUGCAGGCGGGGCGCUUCUCGGCGGUGUGGCGGGGCACCCUGCAGCAGCGGCCGGUGGCCAUCAAGGCGUUCGCGGCGGGGGCGGCCGGGCGCUUCGCGGCCGAGCGGGCGGUGCACGCGCUGCCGCUGAUGGAGCACGAGAACGUGGCGCGGCUGCUGGGCGCCCGCGGUGCUGGGCCCCGCGCCCGCGGGGGGCUCCUG